rnacentral:rRNA from 1 species
AUACGGAGGGUGCGAGCGUUGUUCGGAAUUAUUGGGCGUAAAGAGCAUGUAGGCGGUCUGUUAAGUCUGGUGUGAGAGCCCGGGGCUCAACCCCGGAAGUGCAUUGGAUACUGGCAGACUUGAGUAUGGGAGAGGAAAGCGGAAUUCCGAGUGUAGGAGUGAAAUCCGUAGAUAUUCGGAGGAACACCAGUGGCGAAGGCGGCUUUCUGGACCAAUACUGACGCUGAGAUGCGAAAGCGUGGGGAGCGCACAGGAGUAGAAACCCCAGUAGUCC